rnacentral:tRNA from 1 species
GUCAGCAGCAGGCCGGACAAGUCCGCGUUGUUGGUAUCAAUGCCGGCCGAACCCAGCGCUUCGACCACGCUCAGCGGAUU